rnacentral:rRNA from 1 species
AUGAACGCUGGCGGCGUGCUUAACACAUGCAAGUCGAACGAUGAAGCGGUGCUUGCACCGUGGAUUAGUGGCGAACGGGUGAGUAACACGUGAGCAAUCUGCCCUUGACUCUGGGAUAACAGUUGGAAACAGCUGCUAAUACUGGAUACGAGCUGGAACCGCAUGGUUACUGGUUGGAAAGAUUUUUCGGUCAAGGAUGAGCUCGCGGCCUAUCAGCUUGUUGGUGAGGUAAUGGCUCACCAAGGCGUCGACGGGUAGCCGGCCUGAGAGGGUGACCGGCCACACUGGGACUGAGACGCGGCCCAGACUCCUACGGGAGGCAGCAGUGGGGAAUAUUGCACAAUGGGCGGAAGCCUGAUGCAGCAACGCCGCGUGAGGGAUGACGGCCUUCGGGUUGUAAACCUCUUUUAGCAGGGAAGAAGCGGUAGUGACGGUACCUGCAGAAAAAGCACCGGCUAACUACGUGCCAGCAGCCGCGGUAAUACGUAGGGUGCAAGCGUUAUCCGGAAUUAUUGGGCGUAAAGAGCUCGUAGGCGGUUUGUCGCGUCUGCUGUGAAAACCCGAGGCUCAACCUCGGGCCUGCAGUGGGUACGGGCAGACUAGAGUGCGGUAGGGGAGAUUGGAAUUCCUGGUGUAGCGGUGGGAAUGCGCAGAUAUCAGGAGGAACACCGAUGGCGAAGGCAGAUCUCUGGGCCGUAACUGACGCUGAGGAGCGAAAGGGUGGGGGAGCAAACAGGCUUAGAUACCCUGGUAGUCCACCCCGUAAACGUUGGGAACUAGUUGUGGGGUCCAUUCCACGGGAUUCCGUGACGCAGCUAACGCAUUAAGUUCCCCGCCUGGGGAGUACGGCCGCAAGGCUAAAACUCAAAGGAAUUGACGGGGACCCGCACAAGCGGCGGAGCAUGCGGAUUAAUUCGAUGCAACGCGAAGAACCUUACCAAGGCUUGACAUACACGAGAACGCUGCAGAAAUGUAGAACUCUUUGGACACUCGUGAACAGGUGGUGCAUGGUUGUCGUCAGCUCGUGUCGUGAGAUGUUGGGUUAAGUCUCGCAACGAGCGCAACCCUCGUUCUAUGUUGCCAGCACGUUAUGGUGGGAACUCAUGGGAUACUGCCGGGGUCAACUCGGAGGAAGGUGGGGAUGACGUCAAAUCAUCAUGCCCCUUAUGUCUUGGGCUUCACGCAUGCUACAAUGGCCGGUACAAUGGGCUGCGAUACCGUAAGGUGGAGCGAAUCCCAAAAAGCCGGUCCCAGUUCGGAUUGAGGUCUGCAACUCGACCUCAUGAAGUCGGAGUCGCUAGUAAUCGCAGAUCAGCAACGCUGCGGUGAAUACGUUCCCGGGUCUUGUACUCACC